AUUGAACGCUGGCGGCAGGCCUAACACAUGCAAGUCGAGCGAGCGGCGGACGCGUGAGUCAUGUCUGGGAAACUGCCUGAUGGAGUGGGAUAACUACUGGAAACGGUAGCUAAUACCGCAUACCAUCAUAUGUGCCCAGAUGGGAUUAGCUAGUAGGUGGGGUAACGGCUCACCUAGGCGACGAUCCCUAGCUGGUCUGAGAGGAUGCCCAGCCACACUGGAACGGAGACACGGUCCAGACACCUACGGGAGGCAGCAGUGGGGAAUAUUGCACAAUGGGGGCAAGCCUGAUGCAGCCAUGCCGCGUGUGUGAAGAAGGCCUUCGGGUUGUAAAGCACUUUCAGCGGGGAGGCGUUACCCGCAGAAGAAGCACCGGCUAACUCCGUGCCAGCAGCCGCGGUAAUAC
rnacentral:rRNA from 1 species